UUUUGGACAAUGGGCGCAAGCCUGAUCCAGCCAUGCCGCGUGAGUGAAGAAGGCCUUCGGGCUGUAAAGCUCUUUCGGCGGGGACGAAACGGUUCGUGCUAAUACCACGGACUACUGACGGUACCCGCAGAAGAAGCACCGGCUAACUACGUGCCAGCAGCCGCGGUAAUACGUAGGGUGCAGGCGUUAAUCGGAAUUACUGGGCGUAAAGCGUGCGCAGGCGGUUUGUUAAGACAGGUGUGAAAUCCCCGGGCUUAACCUGGGAAUUGCGCUUGUAACUGGCAGACUGGAGUGUGGCAGAGGGGGGUGGAAUUCCAAGUGUAGCAGUGAAAUGCGUAGAUAUUUGGAGGAACACCGAUGGCGAAGGCAGCCCCCUGGGCUAACACUGACGCUCAUGCACGAAA
rnacentral:rRNA from 1 species